AGAGCGAACGCUGGCGGCAGGCUUAACACAUGCAAGUCGAGCGGGCGUAGCAAUACGUCAGCGGCAGACGGGUGAGUAACGCGUGGGAACGUACCUUUUGGUUCGGAACAACCCAGGGAAACUUGGGCUAAUACCGGAUAAGCCCUUACGGGGAAAGAUUUAUCGCCGAAAGAUCGGCCCGCGUCUGAUUAGCUAGUUGGUGAGGUAAUGGCUCACCAAGGCGACGAUCAGUAGCUGGUCUGAGAGGAUGAUCAGCCACAUUGGGACUGAGACACGGCCCAAACUCCUACGGGAGGCAGCAGUGGGGAAUAUUGGACAAUGGGCGCAAGCCUGAUCCAGCCAUGCCGCGUGAGUGAUGAAGGCCCUAGGGUUGUAAAGCUCUUUGUGCGGAAGAUAAUGACGGUACCGCAAGAAUAAGCCCCGGCUAACUUCGCGCCAGCAGCCGC
rnacentral:rRNA from 1 species